rnacentral:piRNA from 1 species
UGGAGGUUAUGGGUACCACUUGACUCUGA